GACAGACAUCUAGCACAUCCAACUAUGUGGAACCCAUUGGGUCUCGUAGCGAAGAGUUUCCAACGAGUCAACCAAUCUGGAAAAGAUACGACAGUGGAAGAGAAGUGACGUCAUAGUAAAGACCUACCGUUUGAAUGUAACAUCAAUAUUCCUAUUAACAAGUGUUAGAUGAAUCUUUGAUUUAC
ensembl:ncRNA C50F2.12 ncRNA